CCUCCCCUGCAGGCUAGGGGAGGAAGGGGGACCUGGCCAGCAGCUCAGCUCCCCCUGGCCUCAGUUGGUCUGUCUGCAAAGUGGGGUUAAUAAGGUCUCCCUCCUAUGCAGGGGCCUACACAUCCUAUGUCUGGAGAGAGAGCCUCUCAUGGAAGGGCUGUGAGAUCAGCACUAUGUAAGAACAAAGAGGUGUUCUUACACCUGGAAAAGACUAUAUAAGGCUGAUGCCUCAUCUCCAUCUGGUCUUCAAUCCUGCUUCAUACCUCUGGAGGAACUUUGCUACAAACUGAAGCUCUGAACAAAGGACUGAAUGACCCAUCCCAGCUGGGGAUGUAUUCAAGAGACUUGAUUUGAACCUGCAGUUUAUUCCAUCGCUGCUGCAAGCCUGAACCAAGAACUUUGCCAUUACUGUAUGUAAUUGAUUCCAUUUAACCAAUUCUAACUCUCAUCUCUAUCUUUUUCCUUUUAUGAAUAAACCUUUAGAUUUUAGAUUCUAAA